UCAGGAGGCAGCUCUCUCGGAAUAUCUCCACCAUGGCCUGGGCUCUGCUCCUCCUCACCCUCCUCACUCAGGGCACAGGGUCCUGGGCUCAGUCUGCCCUGACUCAGCCUCCCUCCGUGUCCGGGUCUCCUGGACAGUCAGUCACCAUCUCCUGCACUGGAACCAGCAGUGACAUUGGUGGUUAUAACCGUGCCUCCUGGUACCAGCAGCACCCAGGCAAAGCCCCCAAACUCAUGAUUUAUGAGAUGUUGCUGAUGCUGACUUGUUCAUCUCUUCCAACCUCUGCAAACAAAGUGGGAAAUUGGAUUUUUCUGAACACCCAGAUGACAACGGGAGAGGAGGCUCUGUGGCCUCCCGUAACCUGACUCCAGAGCCAGCAGUGUCUGUGGAGAGUCAGCAAGGGUAACCUGCCAGGGAGAAAACCUAAGAAGCCAUGGUGCAAACUGGUACCAGCAGAACCCUGCCAGAUGCCUGUGCAGGUCAUACAUGGUAACAACAACCAGCCCUCAGGGAUCCCAGACCGAUUCUCUGGCUCCAAGUCAGGAACACAGCCACCCUGACCAUCACUGGGGCUCAGGUUGAACAUGAAGCUGACUAUUACCGUCACUCAUGGGACAACAGUGGUACUCAUCUCACAGGGACACAGAGA